GAUGAACGCUGGCGGCGUGCUUAACACAUGCAAGUCGAACGGUGAAGCAGAGCUUGCUCUGUGGAUCAGUGGCGAACGGGUGAGUAACACGUGAGCAACCUGCCCCUGACUCUGGGAUAAGCGCUGGAAACGGCGUCUAAUACUGGAUAUGAGCUGCGACCGCAUGGUCAGCAGUUGGAAAGAUUUUUCGGUCUGGGAUGGGCUCACGGCCUAUCAGCUUGUUGGUGAGGUAAUGGCUCACCAAGGCGUCGACGGGUAGCCGGCCUGAGAGGGUGACCGGCCACACUGGGACUGAGACACGGCCCAGACUCCUACGGGAGGCAGCAGGGGGGAAUAUUGCACAAUGGGCGAAAGCCUGAUGCAGCAACGCCGCGUGAGGGAUGACGGCCUUCGGGUUGUAAACCUCUUUUAGCAGGGAAGAAGCGAAAGUGACGGUACCUGCAGAAAAAGCGCCGGCUAACUACGUG
rnacentral:rRNA from 1 species